GUUUGUCGAUGGUUUAAUAAUGGGAGUUUAGUACUACACAUACCUAAUUUGCACGAGAGUAUGCAAAAAAUGAAAAGUAAAACGCGAGGAAACACGCAGAACUCUGACGCGUUUGUGAGGGAUAUAAUAUUUACAUAUUUUAUCAAUAUGCUUCUAUUCAAUGCAGUUUUUUCAUGUCUACAAGCACGGUGUAAUGGAGAGCUUACUAUAUCCAAUAUAAAUGAAUCCACAGCAAUCGACAGGCUUUUUAUGGACCCUGCAUUGGAAAGAGGCGAUGAAUAUGGAUUGGACAUCUCAUCGAGAACAGGAGAUGAAUCUAUAGGAUUUAUCAAGAAUUCUCAAAAAGCAUUAAUAUCGUUGCCGAUAAAUAUAAACACUUCGAUUAAUAUUGUUGCGGUCUUACUAAACGGUUUGAAUUUAUAAAAGUAAUGGGAAUAGAGA